GAUAUGGUAGCAGAAGGUUUUAAAAAACAACAGAAAAGGGAUGAAAAUAAGUUGUUGCAAACUGCAAAGUACUCAGAAUCAAGAUAACAAUUGAAUCUUCUGUGUGUCCACAGCCAUUAAGUUUCUGGAAAAUUUGAAUCUUCUCUGUACCCAUCACAGCAUUACGUUUUUCUGAAGAUCACUGUUGUGCAAAAAUUGGGACUUACACAUUAGGUUGAUUGAAUUUUGGAUUACAUACAUAUUGCUCAUUUGGAGGAAAUAAAUAGGUCAUUCAUGUUUAAUGGUUUCAAAAGACCUUAAGAGCAGGUAGGUGACCAAAGAGUGCAUGGAGCUGCCUGUUCAUGGAGGUAAAAUGGGUACGUGUUUCAGGUUGGCCAGGGAUUCAAAAUUUGCCUGCACUGUUAAACAGUGCCAGAGUUUAGUGGCAAACAGUUAAUGUGGAUCAAGUUAUACUGAGUGGUGGUGAGAGCUUUAAAAAGGAAAUACAGCAGCAAUUACAUUUAUUGUAAUGGUUUGAAGGACUUGUAUUCAGGUAAUGAGUUCUGUUUUAACUGGAUAUAUGUAUGGGAGUUGUGCAGGUUUUUAGUUUUUCAUACAUUGUAUUACUCCAUGUUUAUCAAUAAAUUUUGUAAACUUA